UACGGAGGGAGCUAGCGUUGUUCGGAAUUACUGGGCGUAAAGCGCGCGUAGGCGGCUUUGUAAGUUAGAGGUGAAAGCCCGGGGCUCAACCCCGGAACUGCCUUUAAGACUGCAUCGCUUGAAUCCAGGAGAGGUGAGUGGAAUUCCGAGUGUAGAGGUGAAAUUCGUAGAUAUUCGGAAGAACACCAGUGGCGAAGGCGGCUCACUGGACUGGUAUUGACGCUGAUGUGCGAAAGCGUGGGGAGCAAACAGGG
rnacentral:rRNA from 1 species